UGCGAUUGAACAAAUUUAUACCAUUUACGCGUUGAAACGGAACCACAAAGGAGUAAAAGUACAAAAUGCGUGUUAUAAUAAUAUUCUUUAAGCACACUGUUAUACGCGACAAGCUGAUGGUUUUUCAAAUACCGAAUGCACACACAUAUAAAACGUUUUCACUCGGGUACACAAAAUAAUAAAAUAAUAUACCAAAGUGUCGACAUGACAUACUUAUAUUGCUGUUGUAUGCAAAAGUGUUUAUCUUUUCAGUGAAUUACUAAACUAUACAUCAAGCUCAUGAUAUAUUGGAAAUUAAUAAAUAUUAGUUUAAUAUUAUAAUAUUUGAAUGAAACAAACAAAAAAAAACCCUAU